UUUUUGUUGUUGUUGUUUUUUUUUUGUUUUGUUUUUGUUUUGUUUUGUUUUUUUUUGAGACAGGGUUUCUCUGUGUAUAGAGGAUAGCCAUGAUCCUACUACCUCUACCUCCUUAGUGGUAGCACUGCUUAUCUGCACCAUCAAGCCAAGGCAAUUGUUUUAGUUCUUGAGGACAGGGCCCCUAAGCUUGCCUCAAACUUCCUGAGCUGACCGUAAACUUGAAAUCAGCAGAUGCCUGGCUUUCUAUCUGAGCUCUUCUGAGAUGUCUGUCCUCUGCUUGAGCUCUUCUGAGACAUCUGUCCUCUGGACCCU
ensembl:antisense Gm43500 predicted gene 43500